rnacentral:rRNA from 1 species
UACGGAGGAUCCGAGCGUUAUCCGGAUUUAUUGGGUUUAAAGGGUGCGUAGGCGAACUAGUAAGUCAGUGGUGAAAUCCUGCAGCUUAACUGUAGAAUUGCCGUUGAUACUGUUAGUCUUGAGUACAUUUGAGGUAGGCGGAAUGUGGUGUGUAGCGGUGAAAUGCAUAGAUAUACCACAGAACACCGAUUGCGAAGGCAGCUUACUAAACUGUAACUGACGCUGAGGCACGAAAGCGUGGGUAUCAAACAGG